rnacentral:lncRNA from 1 species
CUACAAGGGAGAGUGAAUCCAUUGCUUCUCCAUGUUGCUGUGAAGGUGGCUGGAAAGCAUGCAGUAGGACACUAAAGAUUUGGCACUUACUCUCAUUAACUGAUGAAUUUGGAGGACCUAGAAGUGGAAAGCCAGCACUCCCAGAUUUGUCUUCCGAAAACACUGAGACUUAGCUGCUCCACGGGGCUUCCUCACUUCUGAGACGCGGGUGAAUGAUUUGAAGAUUUCAGUCCUAGCAACACAGAAGCAACUUUAAAAAUAAGAUUUGCAAGAAGUUACCUCUCUCAGGUAAUGAUACUUUCCUGUAAUUUCUCUCAAAUCUUCCAUUUCCUCAAGGACUACAUAUUUUUAGGGCAUACAUGAAUGAUUUAAUUACAAAGAACUACAUUUUAAAUUUAAUUUUUUAAAACUAGCAACCAGUUUUAUAAUUUUGAAAGCCAAUGGGUACAACAAUCAUGGCAUUCAAUUCUAUGCACUUUGAAACAGUUUUUUUAAAUUAAUUGUAUAAUAGUGCGUGUUUCUUUUGACAAUAAUUUAGGCAGAAUGUGUUUGAAACCAGCAGGCAAUGCCCACAAACUCUGUGUCUAGCAUAGGUAUUUGAAUUUAAAAAAGAAAAAGUCACGCUUAGUGAAUUGGUUCUAAAGAGGCUAUCAAGUGUUCUGAAUUAUAGAUCUGUAAAUUGUAGAAUGUCAUUAUUGAUAUUUUAACUUUAGCCUUAGUUUAUUAAUACAAUAUAGCACUAGCUGAAACUCUGAAUAUACAUCCAGUGAGUAAGACUUGACCUCGGCUCUCUUGAGAUAGACAGUUGCCUUUUAGUGUCAUU